GGCCUGUCGAUUAUAAUUUUAGGUCUGACCUGCCCACUGACAAGUAUAAAUGGCCGCGGUAUUCUGACCGUGCAAAGGUAGCAUAAUCACUAGUUUUUUAAUUGAAAGCUUGAAUGAAAGGUUUGAUGAGAAAGAUACUGUCUCUAUGAAAAUUUAUUAGAAUUUUAUUUUUAAGUGAAAAAGCUUAAAUUUGUAUUGAAGACGAGAAGACCCUAUAGAGUUUUAUAUAAAGAUAAAAAGGAUAAAUUUUAGGAAUUUAUAAUUUAAGUUUUAUUUUUAUAUUUGGUUGGGGUGAUUGAAAAAUUUAAUUAACUUUUUCUUUAUUUAAACAUUGAUUUAUGAGUGAUUGAUCCUAAAGUUUAGAUUAUAAGAUUAAAUUACCUUAGGGAUAACAGCGUUAUUUUUUUUAGAGUUCUUAUCGAAAAAAAAGAUUGCGACCUCGAUGUUGGAUUAAAAUGAAUUACUGGUGUAGAAGCUGGUACAUUAGGUCUGUUCGACCUUUAAAAUUUUACAUGAUCUGAGUUUAAACCGGUGUGAG
rnacentral:rRNA from 1 species